rnacentral:rRNA from 1 species
AGAUUGAACGCUGGCGGCAUGCCUAACACAUGCAAGCCGAACGGGAGUAGCAAUACUCUAGUGGCGGACGGGUGAGGAAUACGUAGGAAUUUGCCCUUAAGUGGGGGAUAACCCGGGGAAACCCGGAUUAAUACCGCAUGACCUCGAAAGAGCAAAGUGGGGGAUCGCAAGACCUCACGCUUUUGGAGAAGCCUACGUCGGAUUAGCUAGUUGGUGAGGUAAUGGCUCACCAAGGCGACGAUCCGUAACUGGUCUGAGAGGAUGAUCAGUCACACCGGAACUGAGACACGGUCCGGACUCCGUACGGGAGGCAGCAGUGGGGAAUAGUUGGACAAUGGGCGCAAGCCUGAUCCAGCAAUGCCGCGUGU